rnacentral:rRNA from 1 species
CCGCGGUAAUACCAGCUCUCCGAGUGGUGUGGAUGUUUAUUGGGCCUAAAGCAUCCGUAGCUGGCUAGGUUAGUCCCCUGUUAAAUCCACCGAAUUAAUCGUUGGAUUGCGGGGGAUACUGCUUGGCUAGGGGACGAGAGAGGCAGACGGUAUUUCCGGGGUAGGGGUGAAAUCCUAUAAUCCCGGGAAGACCACCAGUGGCGAAGGCUGUCUGCUAGAACGCGCCCGACGGUGAGGGAUGAAAGCUGGGGGAGCGAACCGGAUUAGAUACCCGGGUAGUCCCAGCUGUAAACGAUGCAGACUAGGUGUUUGGACGGCCACGUGCCGUUCUAGUGCCGCAGGGAAGCUGUUAAGUCUGCCGCCUGGGGAGUACGAUCGCAAGAUUGAAACUUAAAGGAAUUGGCGGGGGACACA